rnacentral:rRNA from 1 species
GUCCACGCCCUAAACUAUGGAUACUCGACAUCAGCGAUACACUGUUGGUGUCUGAGCGAAAGCAUUAAGUAUCCCACCUGGGAAGUACGAUCGCAAGAUUGAAACUCAAAGGAAUUGGCGGGGUCGCACAAGCGGUGGAGCAUGUGGUUUAAUUUACGAUGAUACGCGAGGAACCGUUAACCCUGGGCGUAGAAUGCUGGGAGGACCGUGGGUGGAAAGCUCAUUUGUUAGCAAUACACUGCCAGUAAGGUGCUGCAUGGCUGUCGU